UUUUAAGCUGUUGGGCAUGGAUUGCUAUUUAGGCAUGGCUCUCUUAACGACACGAUCAAAAGCGCUCUUGCCACCAUAGACGUUCCUGCGCUCAUUGAGCCGGCAGGGAUUAGUCGGGAUGAUGGCAAGAGACCUGAUGGAUUGACGCUGGUUCCCUGGGAACGGGGACGGGCGCUAAUGU